rnacentral:rRNA from 1 species
AAGUUUUCAGAGAUGAGAAUGUGCCUUCGGGAACCGUGAGACAGGUGCUGCAUGGCUGUCGUCAGCUCGUGUUGUGAAAUGUUGGGUUAAGUCCCGCAACGAGCGCAACCCUUAUCCUUUGUUGCCAGCGGUUAGGCCGGGAACUCAAAGGAGACUGCCAGUGAUAAACUGGAGGAAGGUGGGGAUGACGUCAAGUCAUCAUGGCCCUUACGACCAGGGCUACACACGUGCUACAAUGGCGCAUACAAAGAGAAGCGACCUCGCGAGAGCAAGCGGACCUCAUAAAGUGCGUCGUAGUCCGGAUUGGAGUCUGCAACUCGACUCCAUGAAGUCGGAAUCGCUAGUAAUCGUGGAUCAGAAUGCCACGGUGAAUACGUUCCCGGGCCUUGUACACACCGCCCGUCACACCAUGGGAGUGGGUUGCAAAAGAAGUAGGUAGCUUAACCUUCGGGAGGGCGCUUACCACUUUGUGAUUCAUGACUGGGGUGAAGUCGUAACAAGGUAACCGUAGGGGAACCUGC